rnacentral:rRNA from 1 species
GACGAACGCUGGCGGCGUGCUUAACACAUGCAAGUCGAGCGGUAAGGCCCUUUCGGGGUACACGAGCGGCGAACGGGUGAGUAACACGUGGGUGACCUGCCCUCAGCUCUGGGAUAAGCCCGGGAAACUGGGUCUAAUACCGGAUAUGACUCCAUGACGCAUGUUGUGGGGUGGAAAGCCUUGUGCGGCUGAGGAUGGGCCCGCGGCCUAUCAGCUUGUUGGUGGGGUGAUGGCCACCAAGGCGACGACGGGUAGCCGGCCUGAGAGGGCGACCGGCCACACUGGGACUGAGAUACGGCCCAGACUCCUACGGGAGGCAGCAGUGGGGAAUCUUGCGCAAUGGCGAAAGCCUGACGCAGCGACGCCGCGUGAGGGAUGACGGCCU